GGCUCUGUGUUUAUAAAGAAGAUGCGGGAGGGAAAUGGCACUGGCCACUUCCUUUGUUCCCAGGAAGAUGCCUCCAUGAUGCUGUCUCUCAGGGACUGGUCUGAGAAGAUUGAAUCAUCUCCCCACUAUGUGCCCCAGGGCUGUUACAGUAGGAGAGAGAGACCCAGCUGGCCUGAGAGCUGGACUUUGCACAUCACCUGCUCCAAAAAUGUCCUACUUCAGAGAACCGAUGUUUCAUCUCACAGCCCCUGAACUGGAAAGAAGUUGGGACAGGGGCUGUACUACCACUGACCUAGCUGGCCACUGAAUUGGAAGGAACAGGCCCAGGGAAUCUUGAGAAGUUCAUGACUUCUAGAGGAGGACGAGGUUGUAUAAGACCAGUGCCAGCCACAUCAGGUUGAUGAGAUGAAAAAGAAGGAUAUUUCCUCAGUGCCCAUGCUCUUUAUAAGGAUAGAUGGGAUCUGGUGGCAAGAUGGUAAGCAAACUGGGCCCUGCUAGUGUGAAUUUUGCCCUGGGAAUGCAUAUCAAAAUUGAA